GGGGCGGCAGUUACAUUUAGCUGGAGAUGGAACAUGCCGUUCUACUGGCCAUUGUGCAAAAUUUGGUAGCAACACGCUAAUGUUUGGACCUCGAAGAGAAUGUGGUGGGUGAUCUGCAACUCAUAAAGAGUAACGAAGUAGGUGGGAGUUGCCAUAUGGAGAAAGAGGGUUUAAUCCGAGGAGAUCGUUACAUGGAACAAAUGGAUUUAGCAAGAAAGUGACUACCAGACAUCUUCAAGUUGCGAAAUGAAUGCGUAAGAACGAAGCAUAGCAUCGAUGUGUUGCACGUAGCAAAAGGAUUUCUGAAGACGCUGUUGGCCCUCAGCAAAGAAAAGGAUUGCGAGAACUGAAGAGAGUGGAUAAAAAGUCUGGUAAACCAAUUGUAUUUGGUAUCGUCCUCAGCACUUGAUGAAAAAGACAGUGAGCUCAAAAGAGAAAAAUGGACCAAGCCAGUAAUACGAACCUUUGGACCUUGGCCCACUUACUAGACGGAAGGGAUGGUUGAGACCAGGAACCAAAGUGAUGGAGAAGUUAGAAACCAUUGCGGGCAGAUUAAAGAGGACAUCCCCAUGCUCUUGUCAUCAUUUCGAACUUCAAAUGUAGAGGCAUUCAUUCAGUCAAAAACCAGUUUGCGCCAAAAAUGUUUAAAUUCUCCUACUUUAGAAUGCAAAGUCGCACUUCACUACAACGAAAAUUCCAAUAAGGAUCAGGCAGACACAUAAGAGGGGAAUCUUUAAUACACCAUUUCCAAAGUACUGAAAGAGGGACUACACUGUGGAGAAGGUGA